rnacentral:lncRNA from 11 species
GUGAGGCUGUAAUAAGGACUUGCAACGGGUGAUCCUUUCUGACAGUUGCAGGGUAACUCACAGGUGGGAGAAGUGGAAUCCUGAUCACCUUUAUCUUCCUGAUCAUCAAGUGAAUUGAUAACUUUCACUCAACUUGGCAGCUGGGUCUUAAGGUGGACUGUGGUGGCUCUUAUACAGAUCUCAUCCUCUCAUAACGUCUUAGGACCUCAUUACAUGGAAGGUGCCCUCCUUUUCUACAUGCUUCAGUGAAAGAAUCUCACAGAUCCCAUCAAAUGACACACAACCAAUUCCAUGGAUUUGCC